GUGCUUGAUCAGCAGCACACGUACUAAAAUUGGAACAAUACAGAGAAGAUUAACAUGGCCCCUGCACAAGGAUGACAUGCAGCAGGGUGUUGCAACCUUCCAGAAUCAU